UACGAAGGGGGCAAGCGUUGUUCGGAAUUACUGGGCGUAAAGAGCGUGUAGGCGGCCCGGUAAGUCCGCUGUGAAAGUCGGGGGCUCAACCCUCGAAUGCCGGUGGAUACUGUCGGGCUAGAGUGCGGAAGAGGCGAGUGGAAUUCCUGGUGUAGCGGUGAAAUGCGCAGAUAUCAGGAGGAACACCAAUAGCGAAGGCAGCUCGCUGGGACGGUACUGACGCUGAGGUGCGAAAGCGUGGGGAGCAAACAGG
rnacentral:rRNA from 1 species